rnacentral:rRNA from 1 species
CAAUGGAGAGUUUGAUCCUGGCUCAGGAUGAACGCUGGCGGCGUGCCUAAUACAUGCAAGUCGGACGCAAUGCUUCGGCAUUGAGUGGCGAACGGGUGAGU